UACAGAGGGGGCGAGCGUUAUUCGGAAUUAUUGGGCGUAAAGGCUCGUAGGCGGCCAACUAAGUCAAACGUGAAAUCCCUCGGCUUAACCGGGGAACUGCGCUUGAUACUGGAUGGCUUGAGAUUGGGAGAGGGAUGCGGAAUUCCUGGUGUAGCGGUGAAAUGCGCAGAUAUCAGGAGGAACACCGGUGGCGAAGGCGGGUCUCUGGGCCGAUACUGACGCUGAGGAGCGAAGCGUGGGAGCGAACAGG
rnacentral:rRNA from 1 species